rnacentral:rRNA from 1 species
UACGUAGGGUGCAAGCGUUAAUCGGAGUUACUGGGCGUAAAGCGUGCGCAGGCGGUUCGGAAAGAGAGGUGUGAAAUCCCAGGGCUUAACCUUGGAACUGCACUUCUAACUACCGGGCUAGAGUACGUCAGAGGGGGGUAGAAUUCCACGUGUAGCAGUGAAAUGCGUAGAGAUGUGGAGGAACACCGAUGGCGAAGGCAGCCCCCUGGGUCAGGACUGACGCUCAUGCACGAAAGCGUGGGGAGCAAACAGG